UCGGGAAUUUUGGGCAAUGGGCGAAAGCCUGACCCAGCAACGCCGCGUGAGGGAUGAAGUAUUUCGGUAUGUAAACCUCGAAAGAAUGGGAAGAAUAAAUGACGGUACCAUUUAUAAGCUCCGGCUAACUACGUGCCAGCAGCCGCGGUAAUACGUAGGGAGCAAGCGUUGUUCGGAUUUACUGGGCGUAAAGGGCGCGUAGGCGGCGCGGUAAGUCACUUGUGAAAUCUCUGAGCUUAACUCAGAACGGCCAAGUGAUACUGCUGUGCUAGAGUGCGGAAGAGGCAACCGGAAUUCUUGGUGUAGCGGUGAAAUGCGUAGAUAUCAAGAGGAACACCUGAGGCGAAGGCGGGUUGCUGUGCCGACACUGACGCUGAUGCGCGAAAGCCAGGGGAGCAAACG
rnacentral:rRNA from 1 species